GUAAGCGUACACUCUGAGAAGACAAGAAGAAGCCCAGGACAUGAGCAGCUGCCUUGUUUGGACACAGGACCCACCCUUGGACCACUUGCAUGCUGAACUGGCCACUGCCCGAGGGGACCACACCAUGCCCACUCAACCGGGAGCCCAUGGUGGGUAGGUUUGCUGACUGUGGGCAUUCCUGGAAGUGACGCUGCAGCUUUCUUGAAUAGAUCCUUGCACUUAUUUUGGAAAUAGCUCCUGAUCUUCCUCCUCUGACCAAGGUGUACGGGCAUAACUGUGAGCGUUCAAGCUAGAAAUCUGACAGUGUCCCUCAUGAGACCUUACCAGGGCAUGCUGUGGAUGGCACCUGUCCUGCCAGGUGCUGUGGAAGUGGCACCUUUGUCUUCAGCUUUUUACCAUAUCGUGGGCAUCCAGCCCUGCAGCAUCAGAUGGGUGUGGGGAUGAACAGAUAUGGAUAAAGCUUCUUUUCCAGUUUCUGUAGCAGUUACAGCAUUACACUGUAAAACCUACAUACUAAACUAGAUUAAAAAUAUCCCCUAAUUUCAGUUUGUAGUUUUUAUGAUCUUUUUCCUGGUAAUGCCAAAUGCUCUAUAUUACUUUGUAUGUUCAAAGCAGCUUCUGCAUCCUCAGCUAUAGGUAUCUUCAGCAUGUCUACAAAUCAAAUCCUAGGUUAUGAAGUCAGCACCCAAAACAAAGGAUAUGAAACUAAGGAGUAGCACAAUAAGAACUCGUCUGCUGAAACCUUCUUGCAGAAGCAGACUCCAUUUCCCCAGUGACAGAGUUCUGCUACCAUAAUUGUAAAGCAAUCCUAUUUCUUCAUGCAGUCGCCUGU